rnacentral:rRNA from 1 species
UUGAGAGUUUGAUCCUGGCUCAGGAUGAACGUUGGCGGCGUGUCUAAGGCAUGCAAGUCGAGCGACGUACCUACCUUCGGGUAGAUUACGAGCGGCAGACGGGAGAGUAACACAUUGGUAACCUACCUCCGAGACGGGAAUAGCUACGGGAAACCGUAGAUAACGCCCGAUAGUCAUGAGGGGACUUAAAGUCAUUCUCAUGUAAAUAAUUUAUUGCUCGGAGAGGGGCCUAUGUCUGAUUAGUUUGUUGGUGAGGUAAUGGCUCACCAAGACUAUGAUCAGUACCGGGCGUGAGAGCGUGACCCGGCUCACUGGGACUGAGACACUGCCCAGACUCCUACGGGAGGCUGCAGUCAAGAAUAUUCCACAAUGCACGAAAGUGUGAUGGAGCGACGCCGCGUGCAGGAAGACGCCCUUCGGGGUGUAAACUGCUUUUCUUAGGGAAGAAUUAGUGACGGUACCUAAGGAAUAAGAGGUUGCUAACUCUGUGCCAGCAGCAGCGGUAAUACAGAGACCUCAAACGUUAUCCGGAUUCAUUGGGCGUAAAGC